rnacentral:rRNA from 1 species
AACGAACGCUGGCGGCGUGCCUAACACAUGCAAGUCGAACGCGAAAGGGGCUUCGGCCCUGAGUAAAGUGGCGCACGGGUGAGUAACACGUGGAUAAUCUACCCGGUACUCUGGGAUAACAUCUCGAAAGGGGUGCUAAUACCGGAUAAGCUCACGAGAACUUCGGUUCUUGCGGGAAAAGGUGGGGACCUUCGGGCCUACUGAUACUGGAUGAGUCCGCGGCCCAUUAGCUAGUUGGCAGGGUAAUGGCCUACCAAGGCGACGAUGGGUAGCUGGUCUGAGAGGAUGAUCAGCCACACUGGAACUGAGACACGGCCAGACUCCUACGGGAGGCAGCAGUAGGGAAUAUUGCGCAAUGGACGAAAGUCUGACGCAGCAACGCCGCGCGGAUGAUGAAGCAUUUCGGUGUGUAAAGUCCUGUCAGCAGGGAAGAACCGUACGAAAAGUAACUGUUUCGUGCCUGACGGUACCUGCAGAGGAAGUCCCGGCUAACUCCGUGCCAGCCGCCGCAGUAAAAC